rnacentral:rRNA from 1 species
GGCGACCGGCGCACGGGUGAGUAACGCGUAUGCAACCUACCUGUAACAGAGGGAUAGCCCAGAGAAAUGUGGAUUAAUAUCUCAUAGUUCUAUUAGAUCGCAUGAUUUGAUAGAUAAAGCUCCGGCGGUUACAGAUGGGCAUGCGUGACAUUAGCUAGUUGGUAAGGUAACGGCCCAUCAAGGCUACGAUGUCUAGGGGUUCUGAGAGGAUUACCCCCCACACUGGUACUGAGACACGGACCAGACUCCUACGGGAGGCAGCAGUGAGGAAUAUUGGUCAAUGGCCGGAAGGCUGAACCAGCCAUCCCGCGUGCAGGAUGACGGCCCUAUGGGUUGUAAACUGCUUUUAUACAGGAAGAAACACUCCCUCGUGAGGGUGGUUGCCGGUAAGGUAUGAAUAAGCAUCGGCUAACUCCGUGCCAGCAGCCGCGGUAAUACGGAGGAUGCAAGCGUUAUCCGGAUUCAUUGGGUUUAAAGGGUGCGCAGGCGGUGAUAUAAGUCAGUGGUGAAAGUUUUCAGCUUAACGGUAGAAUUGCCAUUGAUACUGUUUUUCUUGAGUAUGGUUGAGGUAGGUGGAAUGUGUUGUGUAGCGGUGAAAUGCAUAGAUAUGACACAGAACGCCGAUUGCGAAGGCAGCUUACUAAGCCAUUACUGACGCUGAGGCACGAAAGCGUGGGGAUCGAACAGGAUUAGAUACCCUGGUAGUCCACGCCGUAAACGAUGAUCACUCGCUGUUUGCGAUAUACAGCAAGCGGCUGAGCGAAAGCAUUAAGUGAUCCACCUGGGGAGUACGAUCGCAAGGUUGAAACUCAAAGGAAUUGACGGGGGCCCGCACAAGCGGAGGAACAUGUGGUUUAAUUCGAUGAUACGCGAGGAACCUUACCUGGGCUUAAAUGUAGAGCGACAGAUUGUGAAAGCAGUCCUUCUUCGGACGAUCUACAAGGUGCUGCAUGGUUGUCGUCAGCUCGUGCCGUGAGGUGUCGGGUUAAGUCCCAUAACGAGCGCAACCCUUAUCGUUAGUUGCCAGCGGGUUAAGCCGGGGACUCUAGCAGAACUGCCGUUGACAAAACGGAGGAAGGUGGGGAUGACGUCAAAUCAUCAUGCCCCUUAUGUCUUGGGCUACACACGUACUACAAUGGCUGAAACAAGGGAAGCAAAACUGCGAAGUUAAGCGAACCCCUUAAAACAGGUCCCAGUUCGGAUUGUAGGCUGCAACUCGCCUACAUGAAGUUGGAAUCGCUAGUAAUCGCAGGUCAGCAUACUGCGGUGAAUACGUUCCCGGGCCUUGUACACACCGCCCGUCACACCACGAAAGUCUGCAACACCCGAAGA